rnacentral:tRNA from 1 species
GUCCUGAUAGCUUAUUAAGCAUUGGCCUUGUAAGCCAAAGAAUGUGGCUCGCCCGCCACUCCGGACCC